AGUACCCUACGGGGGGCAGCAGUGGGGGAUAUUGCACAAUGGGGGAAACCCUGAUGCAGCAACGCCGCGUGAGUGAAGAAGGUCUUCGGAUUGUAAAGCUCUGUUCUUGGUGAAGAUAAUGACGGUAGCCAAGGAGAAAGCACCGGCUAACUCCGUGCCAGCAGCCGCGGUAAUACGGAGGAUGCGAGCGUUAUCCGGAUUUAUUGGGUUUAAAGGGUGCGUAGGCGGACUGUUAAGUCAGCGGUAAAAGCCCGGGGCUCAACCCCGGCGAGCCGUUGAAACUGGCUGUCUUGAGAUGUCGAGAG
rnacentral:rRNA from 1 species